rnacentral:ncRNA from 1 species
GAAAGCCGGAUGCUUGGAAACUUGCUUGUCCGGUUUGGACGGGGGCUGAUUGUAAAUAAAACAGCAAAGAUAAAUCGCUGC